GUGCCAGCCGCCGCGGUAAUACGAAGGAUGCAAGCGUUAUCCGGAUUCAUUGGGUUUAAAGGGAGCGUAGGUGGCCUUAUAAGUCAGUGGUGAAAUCUCUCGGCUUAACCGAGAAAUUGCCAUUGAUACUGUAGGGCUUGAGUAUAGUUGCCGUUGGCGGAAUAUGACAUGUAGUGGUGAAAUACAUAGAGAUGUCAUAGAACACCGAUUGCGAAGGCAGCUGACGAAACUAUAACUGACACUGAGGCUCGAAAGUGCGGGGAUCAAACAGGAUUAGAUACCCGCGUAGUCC
rnacentral:rRNA from 1 species